GUGUUAUGGGAGCUCAGGGGAGGAGAAAUUAAUUCCAAGUAGCAGCAGCACUACUGAGUAUUUCACAAGUGAGGAGGACAGGGCAAUCUGGGCAGAGGAAGUAGACUCAACACAGGUACAGAGGCUGGAAUGCUUGGAGAGCACUGUGAAGGCCACUGUGGCUGGACUGUCCCUGCCAGGGGAGAAGGAGGCAUGGUAGCUUCAGUAGGAGGAAGACUUUCUUCUAGGACUCGGAGACCAUCAAUUACCAGUCGGCCACUGCUCCUUUCUCGAAUAAAUAUCACCUGGAUGAAGAGAAGGACAAUAGCACAUCUCAGGGACUUUGGCUAAAAAAAUAAACUGUCAAAGGAACUGGCAUUUGCUGACUGGACUACAGCACAUCUCGAAGAAUCUGCAGACUGAAACCUUCAAGGCAUUCAUGAAAUGGUCUUCCCUUAGUUCCCCUGCCUUUUCCACUCUUUCUGCCAUUUGGAUUUCACACUGGAAGUUCAAGAGAUGACAUCAGAAAACAGAAAAGCCAGUGGGAAAGGCAAGGUAUAAAGAACUUUCAGGGAAUACUCACAUCAUAAAUUCGGUCAGUGGUGUUCAAAGCAAAUUCUGCUGUUUCAUUGGCUUCACUAACAUAAUUAACAAUAUUUUCAUAGACAUUUGAUGCAUCCAAAGCCUUCUGUACCAG
rnacentral:lncRNA from 1 species